UACAGAGGUCCCAAGCGUUGUUCGGAUUCAUUGGGCGUAAAGGGUGCGUAGGUGGCGUCGUAAGUGGGGUGUGAAAUCCCGGGGCUUAACCCCGGGACUGCAUUCCAUACUGCGGUGCUUGAGGACUGGAGAGGAGACUGGAAUUUACGGUGUAGCAGUGAAAUGCGUAGAGAUCGUAAGGAAGACCAGUGGCGAAGGCGGGUCUCUGGACAGUUCCUGACACUGAGGCACGAAGGCCAGGGGAGCAAACGGG
rnacentral:rRNA from 1 species